UCAUGAACAACGCAAAGCGCGGAAAGCGCAUAACACUGACGUUAAAAGCAUUUUCGAUUUGAGACGCCUCUUCGUGAUGGCUCCAUGAAAACGAAAACCGUCUGUUCAGUGGAGAAUAGAGUAGUAUAGGGUUAUGGGUGACGUUCUCUCCUGCCUUCGGGCUCAUGGGGGGAAGGUCAAUGACCUUUCGCACAU
rfam:Aureobasidium namibiae CBS 147.97 unplaced genomic scaffold scaffold_3, whole genome shotgun sequence.